UUGCUUGGGCAGCACAUGUACUAAAACUGGAAAGAUACAGACAAGAUGAACAGGGCCCCUGCACAAGAAUGUUAUGAAGUUCCUGAUGCAUUCUGUAUUUAU
ensembl:snRNA U6 U6 spliceosomal RNA